rnacentral:rRNA from 1 species
CAGUCGUACCUUCGGGUAAUCAGCCUUUCGAGUGCGAUUCUGUGGAGUGUGAGGAGCUAAACACCUUCAUGCCUGCAUAUUCGUGCACUUUGGGUGUACUUGCCCGUGUGUAAGUUAACAUCAAUUUUGGUGGUCAUAAAAUGACUGGAGGAAUGUAGCUUCGAUCUUGUAUUGAAGUGUUAUAGCCUUCGGUAGAUGUGAUGAUCGGGAUUGGAGGAUUGCAACGGAUACCCUUCGGGGCUACCUGUCUGGUCUCUGAUCGUUGCUCUGGUGCCGAAAGCUUGCUUACGGUCAUUCAUGAUGACGGUCAAAAGGUUAGAACGUGAUUACAUU